rnacentral:rRNA from 1 species
AACGAACGCUGGCGGCAUGCCUAACACAUGCAAGUCGAACGAUCCCUUCGGGGAUAGUGGCGCACGGGUGCGUAACGCGUGGGAACCUGCCCUUAGGUUCGGAAUAACUCAGAGAAAUUUGAGCUAAUACCGGAUAAUGUCUUCGGACCAAAGAUUUAUCGCCUUUGGAUGGGCCCGCGUUGGAUUAGCUAGUUGGUGGGGUAAAGGCCUACCAAGGCGACGAUCCAUAGCUGAUCUGAGAGGAUGAUCAGCCACACUGGGACUGAGACACGGCCCAGACUCCUACGGGAGGCAGCAGUGGGGAAUAUUGGAAAAUGGGCGAAAGCCUGAUCCAGCAAUGCCGCGUGAGUGAUGAAGGCCUUAGGGUUGUAAAGCUCUUUUACCCGGGAUGAUAAUGGCAGUACCGGGAGAAUAAGCCCCGGCUAACUCCGUG